UUUAAAGGGAACUGGAGGGAAACACAUCAGCAUGUUAGUAAGUGGUCUGUUGUCCAGGUGGUGGAAUUUCAGACGAUUUUCAUUUUUCGUGCCUGUGUCUCAGGUCCUCUGGAAGACAGACACCAGGGUGGCAUUGGAGGUGCAGGAGGUUUAUUCGAGGAAAUGCCCGUGAGAGAGGAAGGAGAGAGGGAGCAGGAGGAGGCAGGGAGAGCCUGGGUCUGGCUUUGCAGGUUGGACCCGUAUGAGUGGAGAGGGUAGGAAGGAAGUGCAGUGCUGAGAAAGGAUCCGCCAGGCUGACUGGAAGGCCCAGAGCAGAGCUUGCCAGAUGAGGAACCCCAUGUCCAUUGGAAAUGGCCCAGCACUGGGGUCUGCUGUGAGAGCAUGGCCUGGGUGUGGAGGCUGUCAGCUCAACUGCGGUGCUCGCAGAGGGCCGCACGAUACCCCUCCCUGGCUGCAUGGUCCCUGUCUUUGUGUGUGCUGAGUCUGCAUCACUUUGUAAAGCCCCACUCUUCUGCCCAGGUACCAAGGAAAGGCAGAUGCCCCCGUGGCCUUGGUGGUUCACAUGGCCCCAGAAUCUGUGCUGGUGGACAGCAGGUACCAGCAGUGGAUGGAGAGGUUUGGGCCUGACACCCAGCACUUGGUCCUGAAUGAGAACUGUGCCUCAGUUCACAACCUUCGCAGCCACAAGAUUCAAACCCAGCUCAACCUCAUCCACCCGGACAUCUUCCCCCUGCUCACCAGUUUCCCCUGGAGGUCCCCACCCUCAGUGUGCCCGUGGUUCAGGGUGAAUGCCUCCUCAAGUACCAGCUCCGUCCCAGGAGGGAGUGGCAGAGGGAUGCCAUUAUUACUUGCAAUCCUGAGGAAUUCAUAGUUGAGGCGCUGCAGCUUCCCAACUUCGAGCAGAGCGUGCAGGAGUACAGGAGGAGUGCGCAGGACGGCCCAGCCCUAGCAGAGAAAAGAAGUCAGUACCCAGAAAUCAUCUUCCUUGGAACAGGGUCUGCCAUCCCGAUGAAGAUUCGAAAUGUCAGUGCCACACUUGUCAACAUAAGCCCCAACACGUCUCUGCUACUGGACUGUGGUGAGGGCACGUUUGGGCAGCUGUGCCGUCAUUACGGAGACCAGGUGGACAGAGUCCUGGGCACCCUGGCUGCUGUGUUUGUGUCCCACCUGCACGCAGAUCACCACACGGGCUUGCUAAAUAUCUUGCUGCAGAGAGAACGAGCCUUGGCAUCUUUGGGAAAGCCACUUCACCCUUUGCUGGUGAUUGCCCCCAGCCAGCUCAAAGCCUGGCUCCAGCAGUACCACAACCAGUGCCAGGAGGUCCUGCACCACAUCAGUAUGAUUCCUGCCAAAUGCCUUCAGGAAGGGGCUGAGAUCUCCAGUCUUGCAGUGGAAAGAUUGAUCAGUUCGCUGUUGGGAACAUGUGAUUUGGAAGGGGUAAGGGGCACAGCUGCAGGCAUCGUGGGGGCGAGGUGGGGAGCAGAGCUGCAGAGCCCUCCAGCCCCGCCCUUUUAGUUUCAGACCUGUCUGGUGCGGCACUGCAAGCAUGCGUUUGGCUGUGCGCUGGUGCACACCUCUGGCUGGAAAGUGGUCUAUUCCGGGGACACCAUGCCCUGCGAGGCUCUGGUCCGGAUGGGGAAAGAUGCCACCCUCCUGAUACAUGAAGCCACCCUGGAAGAUGGUUUGGAAGAGGAAGCAGUGGAAAAGACACACAGCACAACGUCCCAGGCCAUCAGCGUGGGGAUGCGGAUGAACGCAGAGUUCAUCAUGCUGAACCACUUCAGCCAGCGCUACGCCAAGGUCCCCCUCUUCAGCCCCAACUUCAACGAGAAAGUGGGAGUUGCCUUUGACCACAUGAAGGUCUGCUUUGGAGACUUUCCAACAAUGCCCAAGCUGAUUCCCCCACUGAAAGCCCUGUUUGCUGGCGACAUCGAGGAGAUGGAGGAGCGCAGGGAGAAGCGGGAGCUGCGGCAGGUGCGGGCGGCCCUCCUGUCCAGGGAGCUGGCAGGCAGCCUGGAGGAUGGGGAGCCUCAGCAGAAACAGGCCCACACAGAGGAGCCACAGGCCAAGAAGGUCAGAGCCCAGUGAAGAUCUGGGAGACCCUGAACUCUGAAGGCUGUGUGUCUUCUGCCCCACGCACGCACCCGUAUCUGCCCUCCUUGCUGGUAGAAGCUGAAGAGCACGGUCCCCCAGGAGGCAGCUCAGGAUAGGUGGUAUGGAGCUGUGCCAAGGCUUGGGCUCCCAGAUAAGCACUAGUCUAUAGAUGCCUCUUAGGACUGGUGCCUGGCACAGCCGCGGGACAGGAGGCUGCCACACGGAAGCAAGCAGAUGAACUAAUUUUAUUUCAAGGCAGUUUUUAAAAAGAAGUCAUGGAAACAGACGGCAGCACCUUUCCUCUAAUCUAGCAAAGAGAUUCCCUGCACGCCAGAGACAAGCAGAGUAACAGGAUCACUGGGUCUAAGUGUCUGAGACUCAAUGAAAAUAGUAUUUCAGCUGCAAUAAAGAUUGAGUUUGC
rnacentral:sRNA from 1 species